GGAGAGGUGGCCGAGAGGCCGAAGGCGCUCCCCUGCUAAGGGAGUAUGGAUUAAAAUCCAUCGUGGGUUCGAAUCCCACCCUCUCCG
rnacentral:tRNA from 1 species